rnacentral:rRNA from 1 species
UCGCUCCUACCGAUUGAGUGGCCCGGUGAAUUGCGCUGCUGGGCACAUCUGCGCUCGUGUGGGUGUUCUAAACGCGUUGUAAACCUUGUUACUUAGAGGAAGGAG